UCGUCAGUGAGGUUAAUCCUUACCUGUUCCUCUCCGGGAGAAACAGCACAUGAUGAAUGGAGGAGACUGAGUCGCUGAUUACUCUGUACUCCGGUCCUGUCUGGUGCGACAACACUUACCAGGCAGGAUCAUUCUGAU
rnacentral:snoRNA from 1 species